UACGUAGGUGGCAAGCGUUGUCCGGAUUUAUUGGGUUUAAAGGGUGCGUAGGCGGCUUUGUAAGUCAGUGGUGAAAUAUGGCAGCUCAACUGUCAGGGUGCCAUUGAUACUGCGGAGCUUGAGUACAGAUGAGGUAGGGGGAAUUGACGGUGUAGCGGUGAAAUGCUUAGAUAUCGUCAAGAACACCGAUAGCGAAGGCAGCUUACUAGGCUGUAACUGACGCUGAGGCACGAAAGUGUGGGGAUCAAGCAGG
rnacentral:rRNA from 1 species